rnacentral:rRNA from 1 species
AGUGAACGCUGGCGGUAGGCCUAACACAUGCAAGUUGAACGGCAGCACAGUAAGAGCUUGCUCUUACGGGUGGCGAGUGGCGGACGGGUGAGGAAUACAUCGGAAUCUACUUUUUCGUGGGGGAUAACGUAGGGAAACUUACGCUAAUACCGCAUACGACCUACGGGUGAAAGCAGGGGAUCUUCGGACCUUGCGCGAUUGAAUGAGCCGAUGUCGGAUUAGCUAGUUGGCGGGGUAAAGGCCCACCAAGGCGACGAUCCGUAGCUGGUCUGAGGGGAUGAUCAGCCACACUGGAACUGAGACACGGUCCAGACUCCUACGGGAGGCAGCAGUGGGGAAUAUUGGACAAUGGGCGCAAGCCUGAUCCAGCCAUACCGCGUGGGUGAAGAAGGCCUUCGGGUUGUAAAGCCCUUUUGUUGGGAAAGAAAAGCAGCAGGUUAAUACCCCGCUAUUCUGACGGUACCCAAAGAAUAAGCACCGGCUAACUUCGUG